rnacentral:lncRNA from 1 species
ACCACAUAUGAGAACUUUCGUCAUAGAGGACUAAGAGGAGAUAACAGGAUCAAUGUGUAUGACCGGAGGUGUACGAAAAACUUUCUUGAAGUAUUCUGCUCGAGGAUAGAACCUUCGAAAAACAAUUUUCGUGGAUAUGUACAUGAAGAGGAAGUAGAGUUUAGGAAGACAUGAAACAUUCAAGUAACAGAAGUUGAUAACUCCUAUGGGGAUAGAAGAGUUAAGAUAGAAGAAGAUCGGGUGCACGAACAACUUUCGUGAAGUAUUCUGCUCGAGGAUAGAACCUUCGAAAAACAAUUUCCGUGGAUAUGUACAUGAAGAGGCAUUAAAGUCUAGUAAGGUAGGAAACAUUCAAGUAACGGAAGUUGAAACCUCUGACGGGGAUAGAAGAGUCAAGGUAGAAGAAGAUCUUGAGAUCGGAGAUGAUCUCA